rnacentral:rRNA from 1 species
UACAGAGGACCCGAGCGUUACGCGGAUUUACUAGGCUUAAAGGGUGCGUAGGCGGCGCCGUAAGUGCGUUGUGAAAUCCCACGGCUCAACCGUGGAAUCGCUUCGUAGGCUGCGGUGCUUGAGGUCGGUAGGGGCCAUCGGAACGGUAGGUGGAGCGGUGAAAUGCGUAGAUAUCUACCGGAACGCCCGAGGCGAAGGCGGAUGGCUGGGCCGAAUCUGACGCUGAGGCACGAAAGCGUGGGGAGCGAACGGG